UGAAUGGUGCAAUAUUGGAGAUCAACAUUGACUUCUGUUGCUGGCAAGUUGGGCAUUUAGUAGCAGCUAUUCAGAAACAUGCAAUAUGCAAAAAGACAGCUACAAGAGGAAUUUUCUUGCUGCUCACUAUUUAGCUACAACAUAUCUGGAUUGUGUCUAAUUUAAAAUCAACAAUGAGCACCAAAAAAAAAAAAAAUUGAAUGAAUGUCAAAGAAAGUACAUUCAGAAAGAAAAUUAUGUUUCCACUCUAAAUUCAGAAGGGGAGCUUAGCAUUCCACCCUACAGAGAUGAAUUCACUCAACACCUAGAGAAAACAAAUUAUUUGGAAAAUCCUCAGGAGCCUGCUGGGUCCUUGGGCACUAAUAUUAAACCUACCACAACCUCAGUCAUCACUCAGUCUUUUAUGUGCCUUGAGAAGAGAAAAGUAUAUGAUUCAUGUUGAAGGCAGAGAACCAAAAUUCUAUCUAGACUGGUGCCAAUCUAGAAUUAACUUAUGUCAAAAACAAAGAUCUCCACAUUACAGUCUCUGGUAAUCCAGAAAGUUUCAUAAAAGCUGAGAAGGAUUUUUUUUUUUUUUUUUGGUUCCAGGAACAGGUUUUAACUCCAGUUUCCAUUCCCAAAGAACAUUAUUGCUUUGUUAUAAGCAAGACAGGAUAAAAACUAUAAGACUUGGAGUAAAGAGCUGCAACUAACACUGAGAUCUUAUGCCCAGAUAACAACAGCAAUUGGACCAAUAAUAUUGGCACAAAAGAGGUCAUGAAGAAAGCUCCCCACAAUGUCUUGCUUAUGUCUAUUGAACAAGACAAGUGUGCUAUAGAGAGGCUAGAUGUGGAAAAGGUAUUUGAUCCCCUCAUUACUGAGCCAUGCAAUAAAAUGAUUAAUACCAUCAUACAAGAAACAAAGGCACACAUCCAUAUUCUACCACUCAGCCAAUGAGACAUAAAUAGCUUUUAUCAGAAGACAGCAACAACUGGAUAAGGUCAAGGCUUAUGUAAAAGAUAUUUUUGAGAAUACCAAAAAGAAAACAAAAACCAUAGACAUGGAGAUGAAUUUGCAGUAUGUGUGUACCAUAGUAUCCAAGAGCAAUUUCAUGCUGGAGAUCCUGGAAAUAAUUGGAGAUUCAAUAGAGAUCUCAUACUCAAAGGGCACAUCAGAUUCUGUGGCACACCAAGGCAUCUAGAUGGUAUCUGACACUUGUGAAGAGUUCAAUAAAUAUUUUUU